rnacentral:rRNA from 1 species
UACGGGGGGGGGCAAGCGUUGUUCGGAAUUACUGGGCGUAAAGGGCUUGUAGGCGGCCAACUAAGUCCGACGUGAAAUCCCCAGGCUUAACCUGGGAACUGCGUCGGAUACUGGAUGGCUUGAAUUCGGGAGAGGGAUGCAGAAUUCCAGGUGUAGCGGUGAGAUGCGUAGAUAUCUGGAGGAAUACCGGUGGCGAAGGCGGCUCGCUGGGCCAUUCCUGACGCUGAGACGCGAAAGCUAGGGGAGCGAACAGG